GACGAACGCUGGCGGCGUGCUUAACACAUGCAAGUCGAACGGAAAGGCCCUGCUUGCAGGGUACUCGAGUGGCGAACGGGUGAGUAACACGUGGGUGAUCUGCCCUGCACUUCGGGAUAAGCCUGUGAAACUGGGUCUAAUACCGGAUAGGAGCCAUUUUGAGUGUGAUGGUUGGAAAGUUUUUUGGGUGUAGGAUGAGCUCGCGGCCUAUCAGCUUGUUGGUGGGGUAAUGGCCUACCAAGGCGGCGACGGGUAGCCGGCCUGAGAGGGUGGACGGCCACAUUGGGACUGAGAUACGGCCCAGACUCCUACGGGAGACAGCAGUGGGGAAUAUUGCACAAUGGGCGCAAGCCUGAUGCAGCGACGCCGCGUGGGGGAUGACGGCCUUCGGGUUGUAAACUCCUUUCGCUAGGGACGAAGCUUUUUGUGACGGUACCUAGAUAAGAAGCACCGGCUAACUACGUG
rnacentral:rRNA from 1 species